rnacentral:misc_RNA from 1 species
UCUCCGUAGGUGAACCUGCGGAGGGAUCAUUACAGAGUUCAUGCCCUACCGGGUAGAUCUCCCACCCUAUGUUAUCAUUACUUUGUUGCUUUAGCGGGCCGUUAUGUCCUUGCCCGACUACCUGCCCCGGCUUGUAAGCACCCGCCAUAGGAUCCAAACCCCUUAUGAAUAUUGUUGAUUGAGUACUUAACUAUAAUUAAAACUUUCAACAACUGAUGCCUUGGUUCUGGCAUCGGUGAAGAAGGCAAGAAAACGUAAGAACACAAGUCACAACACCUG